CCCCUUCCCUUCCUCACUGUAGCUGCUCGCUGCUCAGGAGAUGAAUAAAGAGCCCGAGUCACGUGUCGAGCUGGACUCAAGCCGUGAAGAUGAAGGUGGGCUCCACUGUGGAGGUGAAGACCACCCAGGGUUCAUCCAGCGAGGCCGUCAUCAGUGAACUGACCCACGCCAGCCUCUACACUGUGGUGCUGAUGAGGAGAAUGAGCCUUCGUCCAGUGAGGAAGAGGAGGACGACAGGAGGAGGCUUAACGAUGAGCUGCUGGGAGGAGUCUGCAGCAUCGAGAACCAGGAGGAGGAGCCAAGCAGCUGGUACCUCGUGGUAGAAACUCAUCGGAAAAGCAAAACAAGCGGCCGAGACAGAUCGAGAAACUGCAGAAUCUACAUCGUUCAUGACGAAGUGAAGGACAAAUCGUUUGAGCUGGAGCUCAGCUGGGUCGGAGAAGUCACAAAUGGACGACACGAGCUGGUUCCUAAAGAUGUUCGAGAGGAAGCAGAGAAAUACGCCAAGGAUUCUUUAGAGGAGGACGAAGACUCUGAUGAAGACAACAUGUGAACCCGUCCCCUCGUCCCCGCCCACAUCUGGGACUCCGCCCUCAACCUUUUAUAUUGUUCACCUGUAAUUUGAGAAUAAAUAAAGUUUGAAACCAGUUGAAGAGCUUC